GCUACACAUGCAGUCGAACGAUGAUCCCAGCUUGCUGGGGGAUUAGUGGCGAACGGGUGAGUAACACGUGAGUAACCUGCCCUUGACUCUGGGAUAAGCCUGGGAAACUGGGUCUAAUACCGGAUAUGACCGCUCUGACGCAUGUCAGGUGGUGGAAAGCUUUUGUGGUUUUGGAUGGACUCGCGGCCUAUCAGCUUGUUGGUGGGGUAAUGGCCUACCAAGGCGACGACGGGUAGCCGGCCUGAGAGGGUGACCGGCCACACUGGGACUGAGACACGGCCCAGACUCCUACGGGAGGCAGCAGUGGGGAAUAUUGCACAAUGGGCGCAAGCCUGAUGCAGCGACGCCGCGUGAGGGAUGACGGCCUUCGGGUUGUAAACCUCUUUCAGUAGGGAAGAAGCGAAAGUGACGGUACCUGCAGAAGAAGCGCCGGCUAACUACGUGCCAGCAGCCGCGGUAAUACGUAGGGCGCAAGCGUUAUCCGGAAUUAUUGGGCGUAAAGAGCUCGUAGGCGGUUUGUCGCGUCUGCUGUGAAAGACCGGGGCUCAACUCCGGUUCUGCAGUGGGUACGGGCAGACUAGAGUGAUGUAGGGGAGACUGGAAUUCCUGGUGUAGCGGUGAAAUGCGCAGAUAUCAGGAGGAACACCGAUGGCGAAGGCAGGUCUCUGGGCAUUAACUGACGCUGAGGAGCGAAAGCAUGGGGAGCGAACAGGAUUAGAUACCCUGGUAGUCCAUGCCGUAAACGUUGGGCACUAGGUGUGGGGGACAUUCCACGUUUUCCGCGCCGUAGCUAACGCAUUAAGUGCCCCGCCUGGGGAGUACGGCCGCAAGGCUAAAACUCAAAGGAAUUGACGGGGGCCCGCACAAGCGGCGGAGCAUGCGGAUUAAUUCGAUGCAACGCGAAGACC
rnacentral:rRNA from 1 species